AGAAAAAUAAGAAGGAAAGAGGUUGUAUGGCCGAGAGAGGAGAUAAGGGGGAGAGAGAGGAAGAUUUUCCUAUAUAUAAGAGACGUGAUCUAAGAAGAUUUAACGGUCCAAUCUUCAAUCCGUCUUCGGUAACGUGAUCUACGAAGCCCGAUCUACGUUUCUACCGAUCGUUUUGAGGCUUUGUGUUAUUUGGAGCUUGCAAAAAUUCUCUAAACACCGGGUAAUAUUUGGAUAAAUUUUUGGUAAUGCAUUGCAUGGUGGUGUCUAGGAGACCUAGUGCUUAAUAUCCGCACAGCCAAGACAUUGAUGUUUUGGUUGCAGGUUCUGCGGAUAUAGAUAAUGACUCGCCCACCUAGCUUAUGAGAUGCUAUGAUUGGAGUACAUCGUGACAGUCAUAAGUCACAGACUCAUGGGUAGUCUGCAUUUGAAUAUUUUAUUUAUGGCUCGUGUCAUACGUGACAUAUGUAUUUGUUGAGCCUGUAUUUUAGUAUGUAAUUAGUGUAAUAUGUUUUAUAAGCUUUAACCAGUUAGACAUAUAAAUGGCUCUUGUUGUUGAUAGCAGUUAUAUAUUAGAUGUAUUUCCGCUA